AGCAGCCGCGGUAAUUCCAGCUCCAAUAGCGUAUAUUAAGGUUGUUGCAGUUAAAAAGCUCGUAGUUGAAUUUCGGGAUUGGCGCAUCGGUCGUGCCUCACGGGGUAUGAACUGGUGCAGUCAAUUUCUCACCUUCUGGAGAACCGCGAUGUCCUUAAUUGGAUGCCGCGGGGAACCAGGACCUUUACUUUGAAAAAUUAGAGUGUUUAAAGCAGGCAUUUUUGCUUGAAUACAUUAGCAUGGAAUAAUAAAAUAGGACGGCAUGGUUCUAUUUUGUUGGUUUCUAGGACCACCGUAAUGAUUAAUAGGGAUAGUUGGGGGCAUUAGUAUUCAAUUGUCAGAGGUGAAAUUCUUGGAUUUAUUGAAGACUAACUACUGCGAAAGCAUUUGCCAAGGAUGUUUUCAUUAAUCAAGAACGAAAGUUAGGGGAUCGAAGACGAUCAGAUACCGUCGUAGUCUUAACCAUAAACUAUGCCGACUAGGAAUCAGACGAUGUUAAUUUUUAAUGUACUCGUUUAGG
rnacentral:misc_RNA from 1 species